GGUAACACUAGGUCAGCAUUCCUGCCUUGCAACAAUUAUCUGGAACGGAGCAGUGGCUGCUCCUUCAGAAAGGACUUGGCUCUCCAGUACACUGCAGUGGCUUCCUGCUUCAUUCCCACCAGCCUGGCCUCCGUAGGCACUUGGGUUUCCAACCUUCUGGAAUAGAAAGGACCUUGAGCUCAACUUUUGGAUUGAGAGACUAUUUCCAGUGCCAAAAAGAGUAUCUGACAUGGGUUUCCCUGGUGGUGCAGUGGUUAAGAAUCCACCUGCCAAUGCAGGGGACACGGGUUCGAGCCCUGGUCCAGGAAGAUCCCACAUGCCGCGGAGCGACUAAGCCCAUGCACCGCAACUACUGAGCCUGCACUCUAGAGCCUGCAAGCCACAACUACUGAAGUCCGCGUGCCGCAACUACUGAAGCCCAUGCGCCUAGAGCCCGUGCCCCGCAACGAGAGAAGCCACCGCAAUGAGAAGCCUGCGCAAAUGAGAAGUCUACGCACCACAACGAAGAGUAGCCCUCACUCACCGCAGCUACAGAAAGCCCGCGUGCAGCAGUGAAGACCCAACGCAGCCAAAAAUAAAUAAAUAAAU